UACAGAGGUCUCAAGCGUUGUUCGGAUUCAUUGGGCGUAAAGGGUGCGUAGGUGGCGCGCUAAGUCAGGUGUGAAAUUUCGGAGCUUAACUCCGAACUGCAUUGAUACUGGCGUGCUUGAGGACUGGAGAGGAGACUGGAAUUCACGGUGUAGCAGUGAAAUGCGUAGAUAUCGUGAGGAAGACCAGUGGCGAAGGCGGGUCUCUGGACAGUUCCUGACACUGAGGCACGAAGGCCAGGGGAGCAACCAGGG
rnacentral:rRNA from 1 species